UGAGAGAGCGGAGGAGGCGCAGGCGCAGCACAGUUUAAACUUGAUUUUGUGAGGGGACGAACAGCGUGACAAUUAAAAGAAGAUCUGGGAAUCUUUCCAAGAAGAGUUUUCUAAUCUGUUAAGAUGUCACCUGCAGCCUCCUCAAAGAAAAGCUUCCUGAGGCCUUCACCAGAAGCAGAUGCUGGUGCCGUGCUUCUACAGCCUGCAGAACUGAAGGACUUUACAGCUUCUCUUUCGCAUAUCCAAAUUGCCAGCAUCACCGCUCUUGCACUCCAAGCCAUUAUUAAGUAAAGUAAAGAACACAAACACUGUGAUACUGCUACACUUGAUCUGAUAACCAAGAAGUCUACUAAGUGACUAACAGCAGAGCAACUGGGAACCUAAUUCUGACCAAAAAGGAGGAAUUGUUUGGCUAAUUGGAAGUGACAGAAACCUUGGGAGAAAGCAACCGCAUACCAAGGAUAAUUAUAAGAAGAAGAGAAGACAUGGAGAAGAGGAGGGAGUAGUUGUGACCGUGGAGGCAGAGAAUGGAGUAAUGUGAUCAUAAAUCAAGGAAUGCUGACAGCCACUAAAGCUGGAGAAGGCCAAGGACAGAUAUUCAAUCCUCCCGUAGAAGUACAGCCCUGCUAAUGCAUUGAUUUUGGACUUCUGGCCUCAGAACUGUCUGGAAAGCAUGGAAAUUUGUAUCUUCAUUCACUUUUGUUUUCAUGGACUCUUUUCAUGUUUGAACUUUUCAUGGUAUGAGCUGUUUUAUAAUCUAUAAUAUG
rnacentral:lncRNA from 1 species